GACGAACGCUGGCGGCGUGCCUAAUACAUGCAAGUCGAGCGGAAGUUGGAGAGCUUGCUCUUCAACUUUAGCGGCGGACGGGUGAGUAACACGUGGGCAACCUGCCCUGCAGAUCGGGAUAACUCCGGGAAACCGGUGCUAAUACCGAAUAGUUUUCGCCACCUCCUGGUGGCGUACGGAAAGACGGUUUCGGCUGUCACUUCAGGAUGGGCCCGCGGCGCAUUAGCUAGUUGGUGGGGUAACGGCCCACCAAGGCGACGAUGCGUAGCCGACCUGAGAGGGUGAUCGGCCACACUGGGACUGAGACACGGCCCAGACUCCUACGGGAGGCAGCAGUAGGGAAUCUUCCGCAACGGACGAAAGUCUGACGGAGCAACGCCGCGUGAGUGACGAAGGUUUUCGGAUCGUAAAACUCUGUUGUGAGGGAAGAACAAGUACCAACUAACUACUGGUACCUUGACGGUACCUCACCAGAAAGCCACGGCUAACUACGUGCCAGCAGCCGCCGUAAAAC
rnacentral:rRNA from 1 species